rnacentral:rRNA from 1 species
AGCCACAGCCAUAUCACCCUGCAGCCCAAGACUAGUUACCCACUGAAGCUAAGCAGGGCUGAGCCUGGUCAGUACCUGGAUGGGAGACCUCCUGGGAAAACUCGUUUGCUGUUGGAA